rnacentral:rRNA from 1 species
GACGAACGCUGGCGGCGUGCUUAACACAUGCAAGUCGUACGGUAAGGCCCUUUCGGGGGUACACGAGUGGCGAACGGGUAAGUAACACGUGAGUAACCUGCCCACAACUUUGGGAUAACGCUAGGAAACUGGUGCUAAUACUGGAUAUGUGCUCCUGCUGCAUGGUGGGGGUUGGAAAGCUCCGGCGGUUGUGGAUGGACUCGCGGCCUAUCAGCUUGUUGGUGGGGUAGUGGCCUACCAAGGCGGCGACGGGUAGCCGGCCUGAGAGGGUGACCGGCCACAUUGGGACUGAGAUACGGCCCAGACUCCUACGGGAGGCAGCAGUGGGGAAUAUUGCACAAUGGGCGCAAGCCUGAUGCAGCAACGCCGCGUGCGGGAUGACGGCCUUCGGGUUGUAAACCGCUUUCAGCAGGGACGAAGCUUUUUGUGACGGUACCUGCAGAAGAAGCACCGGCUAACUACGUG